UUUCUUUAUUAAGCUUCAUGAGAAAGCUUCCCAAAAUUAAAAAAUCUACUUCUCUCUGUCGCUCUCUCUUUUAUCACAAUCUCUCGCUCAAUCUGUCCAGCUCGCUCUCUAUGGCUCUUCAUCCUCUGUCACUCACGAUAUCAUCCUCCAUCACUCAUCAUCUCGAUGGUGUAAGCAAAACAUCCGGGUGCAAAUCGGGUUGGUUUUGGGGUCAUUGUUAAGGAUUGUCGGCGAAAGCUCAAUCUUGAAAAGCACUUAAAGACCAAGCUGCUCUUCAAACGCCGUAUAUCACUAUAUAUUUUGUAUGUUGGACUUUGUAAAUAUGUUUUUAUUGUCCCCUUACAAUAAUAUAUUUUUUGUAGAAAUGACUGCACUGUAUACAUGCUUAAUUCAUGAAUGCGAACGAUCAAUUUAUCCUAUAUGUAAUUUCAUUUUAAUGGCUUGAAUCUGUCGUUGGGGAAGUGCCUUUAGGGCAAUGGCCAUUUGACUUCUAUAGUUUUAUUGCAGACCAAGCUGCUUUUCAAACGCCGUAUAUCGCUAUAUAUUUUUGUUCGUUGGACUCUGUAAAUAUGUUUUUAGUGUCCCCUUACAAUAAUAUAUUUUUUGUAGAAAUGACUGCGUUGUAUACAUGCUUAAUUCAUGAAGUGCCGACUUGAUCAUAACAUAAUUUUAGGCAUGGUAAGGUUGUUAUUUUCAAGAUAUAUUCAUUUUGCGCAAUACAAGGUCAAGUUGAAUGAUGAGUUUCGUUGACCUUCUAAAGAUAUGUUCCACAUUGUUUUGUGGUCGGAAAAUGAACUGCGAGAAGAUGUAAUGAAGAAAGCAAGACAACAUGCAAUUGGAGGGGCAACUGCUUGAUUUCGAAUGGGCAGGUUGAUGGUUUUGCGACCUUAACAUGGCUAUGAGGCCAUUAGUUUUUAGUUUAGUCACGAUAAUGUAUUUUGAUGGUACAUUAUGCCAAACCAAACCAUGGUUGCGAGUAAUAUUUUUGUAUAGCAGAAUUGUUAUUAUGGACUGACAUUCUUAAAUGAGCCAAAUGGAAUUUAGGUUAAUUGAAACCUCUAAGAAGGUGAGGAAUGAUCAUUUGAUGUACAUAUAAUUUUUUCGGUUAGUUGGACAUUAUUAUAAGGCCCUGUAUAAAAGUAUAUACAAACACCUCUAGAGUGAAGUUCAUGGUAGUUUGUUAAUAUUAAUUCUGUUUCUUUGAAA